rnacentral:rRNA from 1 species
AUGACUAGGGAUAACCUUAGGAAGAGACACAUCAUCAAACCCCUUGAUUGUGUUUACUGCUUGGAACAAGAGUCUUGUUCUCACCUAUUUUUUGAAUGUAUAGUUGCUAAACAUCUCUGGGCCCACAUUGAAGAAUAUUUCUCUAGUCAGAUUGGCUCAUCCUUCGAAUCUGUCGCCAGAUUCUGGAUUGCUACCAAAAAGUGCUUAGUUUUAAAUACUGUUAGCUCAGCUGUCCUUUGGUGCCUCUGGAAAUAUAGAAAUGCUAUGAUUUUCAGUAACACCUCCUAGAUUUCCAUUCCGCAGGUCUUGAGGUUGAUCAGGAACAUGGUGAGGAACUGGGCGAUUCUCUCCUCCGGAUCGGACAAGGACAAGUUGAUGAGCUUCGUGGAAACCCUAACAAGAUCCCUCCAGAAACCGUUGGCGAUCACUUGUAGCUGA